rnacentral:misc_RNA from 2 species
GCGAGUAUGGCCCUCACGGGUCUAAUCCACCAUAAACACCUUUGUGAACCAGUCAGGGGGACUCGGCCGUGAAAGCCCAGGCGAUUAGCGGAAGGGCCCUCCUUUGCAAACCCGUUUAGAAGUCUUGAAAGUACUUUUGUAUAAUCUAGUA